UUAAUAUUAUAAUAAUAGUGUGCAUUUUUCUAUAAAAGGACAUUGUAAUCUAUUAACAUAAAGUAUUAUCAUAAGAUCAGCAAAAGUUUAUUUCAAUUAUAUUGUUUACAAUUUAACAUAGAAUAAAUGCUUUUUGAUUUGAUAAAGUGUUGAUAGAUUUAUAUAGUGCUUAAAUAAUAUUUUAUGAUAGCAUAUUGAUUAAUAAUUUGUAUGUUUAUUAUAUGCACUUAUAUGAUUAACAAUGCGAAAGAUUCAGGAUACCUUCGGGACCCGUCUUGAAACACGGACCAAGGAGUCUAACAUAUUUGCAAGUUAUUGGGAAACCUAAUAGCGAAAUUAACAUAACAUAAUGGGAUUAGUUUUUAGCCUAUUAAUUCAAUCCCGGGGCGUUCUAUACAGUUAUGUAUAAUAAUAUUUAUAUUAUUUAUACCUCUAACUAGAGCGUACCUUGAGCAUAUAUGCUGUGACCCGAAAGAUGGUGAACUAUACUUGAUCAGGUUGAAGUCAGGGGAAACCCUGAUGGAAGACCGAAACAGUUCUGACGUGCAAAUCGAUUGUCAGAAUUGAGUAUAGGGGCGAAAGACCAAUCGAACCAUCUAGUAGCUGGUUCCCUCCGAAGUUUCCCUCAGGAUAGCUGGUGCAUUUAAAGAUAAUGUAAAAUAAUCUUAUCUGGUAAAGCGAAUGAUUAGAGGCCUUAGGGUCGAAACGACCUUAACCUAUUCUCAAACUUUAAAUGGGUAAGAACCUCACCUUUCUUGGUAUGAAGGUUGUGGUUGUGAUAUAAUGUGCCCAGUGGGCCACUUUUGGUAAGCAGAACUGGCGCUGUGGGAUGAACCAAACGUAAUGUUACGGUGCCAAAAUUAACAACUCAUGCAGAUACCAUGAAAGGCGUU
rnacentral:rRNA from 1 species